UAGAAGAAAGGCACAGUCUAGUAGUUUAGUUACUUCCAUCGGAUGAAGAAAAUAACUAUGAGUGAAAGAUCAACACCCAAAACAUCAAGAAAAACAUUUAAAAACCCAGUCCAAAACAAAAAGAAGGUGCAUCCUUCCUGGAGAUCCUGGAGAUCCUGGAGUAUGUUGACAGCGAUGGUGACAUUUCAGACAAAUGUUAUAAGCCAGUAAUGUUUGCUAGCAGUCAAUCAGAGCUGGAAGCAGUCUCAUUGGAAAAAAACCAAGAAGAAUCCAUGCCAUGAGGAUGAGGGGAGACUUUGGUGAAAAGGAAAUGUAAACUACCAGCUGUGAAUUCAAAAAGUGUUUUAAGCACAUUAUCUAACAUAAAGUUAUACACUUGUCAUUCUCCUUCUACCAUCAGUAAUACCAGGAAAAGAAAUUGUCUGACUUCAGUUGCAGAGAUGACGAUGGUACAGUUCGCGAUAGCCAAAGUGAAGAUCGACGUUUUUCUUAUUGCCAUACAAUUUCCUCAAGCCAAAGAAAAUUCGUGAUGCACAGCGACGCCGUCCUGACGAUCCCGAAUACGAUACGAGAACUAUUUAUGUGCCUGAUUCGUUCAAGUAAAACCUCACACCAGCGUCAGUGGUGGGAGAUGAAUAUCAAUAACUUUGAUGUUAAACUGUUCUUCAAAGUCGACAAAUUAUAAGAAGUAUAUACCAUGCUAACGCGCUGAUUGCUAUCAAGGAAUUGGAGAUCAUCUUUAUGAAAGGCGAUCAUGCACACUGCGGAUUUCCCGAGCGAGGCUUUACGAAAUACUGCUCUCAGUUGAUAGAAAAAGUCCACCACCGAACAUGAUGAUCGAGCGUCGUAAACGCAUCUCUUGCCCCAUCAAGUUUGACCGCGCCGUAGAACGUAAGGUAUGUCAGGUUACUUCCCGUGAAACUCGGACGUACAUUGCGAUCGAGGGGGAUAAUUGGUAGGUAUAUCUUUACAUGAUGUACCUUAUUUCGACUGAGCGUUUUACAUGAGUAAGUUGAACAUCAUUUCUUGAUAGCAGUUUGGAAAAAAGUGCCAAUCGUCUUGAUCCCUCUUCCCUGCGAUCGCGAUUCGAGUCAACGCAUUCCAUCAUGCUAGCGAUCGGUCAUUUUUCGACCAUUCCUUUCAUAUGAUUUUAUGACUGGAAUCCCUGCAAUUCCUGAUACUCAUCUGGCCCAAGAGGUUGUAGACAAGAUGGUUGAAGCCGUCUUAACUGUUCCAGGAAUUUUCAGGGUCUUGUAUGACCUGACGGCAAAACCACCCGGGGCAACGGAGUGGGAAUGAUUUGAUUUACGAACGUUGCUUAGGCAAAUCAUCUCCGCACUCUUUAUAGGACACGGGCACGGAAUUGUAUCAUUGACCAGAUUUAGAUGGGAAAUAUUAUGAACAGUGGAUUCAAUCAAUUGUUUUCACAAGUGAAGAUUCAUUCCAUAAUCUUCAGCUUCCCAGGCAGACACCCA